AUCUGUGACAGAAGUAGAGGCACUGGACAAUACAGAGAUUUGGAAUUACAGUGCCACCUAUCCUGUACUCAAAUAUAUUAUUCCUGUAACAUGACUGUCCAAAGUGGCUGAGGACAGAGUUCGAGGACUUCUUUGAGAUUAAAAAAACCGGGAUGUCUCCAAAUGGAAAAAUACAGUUCUGUUUUUCCCUUUCGUGAAACUGGCCCAAAGUGUGAACAAACAAGCCACGACCAGGCUGACAGACUAAAACACCGAUGGAAGUCACAUUAAAAUAAUUUUGUUCUGCAUAAUGAUGAAGCAGUGGAGCAUUCCCUCAUUAUACAGGGAACAGAUUCGGGAAAAUCGCUUUGAAGAAUGCGGCAAAUUAUUUUGUAUACUACAUCCAAGGCUACUGAACCAGAAGAAUAAGGACAUACUGCUUAUUACAAUCCGUAGACAGUAA
rnacentral:lncRNA from 1 species